GCUCUGCCACGUCGGCACGGCCUGAACCCUCCGGACUCUGUCCUCCUUCCGCCCCCACCCCAUUCCUUCCGCCUCGCCGAUCCCGCCGGCGGGAUGGCUGGCCCGCGCCCCCUCCCCCGCCGGAUCCUCCAUCUCGCCGCCGCCAUCGCGGUCGCCGCCUGCGCCUGCUUCCCUGCCCCCGUCUCCGGUAUCCGGAAGGACAUUGGCUUUAUUGAACCAAUUAUGUGCAGAAGCACUGUUCAGGGACGGCAUCUGAUCUCUGAUGAUAAUGGUUAUGUAUGCUCUGCACUUUCAAUCAAUCCAUGGUCUCACUGUUGCCCAACAGCAGGGGACCGCUUUUCCUGCCAGGGCUGCAAGCAUGAUUUACAGUGCUGCAACUCUUAUGAAUAUUGUGUUUCUUGCUGUUUGAAUCCUUCUAAGACCAAGAAAGAAGAUGUGCUGAAGCUGAAGGUAGCUAAGCCAGUUACUGCUGGAACAUACACAAAUAUUUUUGAUUUCUGCAUGGGAAGAUGCCGCCAUAGCUCUGCAAGUGUGGUUCAUGAAAAUGCCUACGCCAGUGACUUCCAUCAUUGUUUUUCAGUACAGCAAAAUUCUUCAGGAUCAACUGAACCUAGUUCUGUAUCAAAGUUGUUGGGCAUUAAUGUCGUAGUAGGAAGGCCAGGAGAAUCUUGCAGCUUGGUUUGCAAAGUAAGAGGACAGUCAUGUGUUCCGAGCAGGCUCUCUGUCUUGAACAAAUGUGAGAUUUUGCAGAAAUAUAUGAGAUGCAAAAGCGGCUGCUUUCGCAGCCUUGGACCAGAUCAGCCUGCUGAAGUUGUUGAUGAAGCUCCGACCAGCUUGAAUCCAGGAGCAUGCUUAUAUAUGCAGAUGGAUGAGCGACUCACAUGUGAUGGUUCACAUCAGCAUACCCAGAGGCUCUGUCCAUGUGCAUGAGAAGGAAUAAAGGAAUGUGACACACAUAAGAGAGUAGAGGAAACAAGUGGAGAUGAUAAGCUGAAAACCAGUGGUUCUCCAUCACCCCCAUGAUGAACAACCAUUCUGCAUACUGGUUGCUUCAAGCCCUCAACACAAACAUCCUACUUUUGGGCAGGAUCAUGGAUGCAAAAGGAAAUGGGGUACCCGCUAAUCUUUGCAUGGUAUUUGGUAGGAUGUUGCCUGCUGAAUGAAAAUACAUGCAGCAUGGGUAGUGCCUUGCUCACUGUACAUACCAUCGAGUGCUGAGAUGCAUUGCAUCCAUACUUUCCUCAUAAUUUAUAUUUGUGGCUGUCCUGCGCAGGCUGUUUCACUUUCUUGUCUGCAAGCAUCAUUCAUGUGCAGAGCAAACACCUGAACCAAUUAUAUUCAUAAUAUAUUGCACAAUUUCUCAUGCAUGUUCAAGAAAGUACGAAAAACAGAACUACAGAUACAUGUUCUUUUAAAUCAAUUACACCAUGCCAACAUCUCUGCAUCACAAACUCCCAUGCCUUUUUUUUUUCCAGGCUCAAAAGGAGUAGUUAGGCUUGAAAUCUUUCAUAAAGUUUGGUCUCUCCCUCCCUUUGUUAUCAUCUUUGCUCUGGCCAGCAGCUGUAACACUCUCCUCCGCCGCGGCUUGGUUUUCCUGGCUCUCUUCCACGAAGGCCGGGUGGGUGAAGAUGUUCCCCAGCAGCUGUGUCCCCCUGAGGGCAUUGGUGAGCGGCAGGUGACCUUCAGGGGGUGCAUCUGGGAGAGAAUACAAAGGAGGGCUGUGAUUGGUGGGUUCUGGGUGAGAUGAGGAUACUGGCUACGCAGCAGAGAUAUGCCAAGGAGGUGAGGAUGUGGGGUGUGUAGGCCGAGUCCACAGAACAGUUCUGAUAUGUUGUGCAUUCUUUGGCACUCGUGCCCCAAAAA